GACGAACGCUGGCGGCGUGCUUAACACAUGCAAGUCGAACGGAAAGGCCCUGCUUUCGUGGGGUGCUCGAGUGGCGAACGGGUGAGUAACACGUGAGUAACCUGCCCUUGACUUUGGGAUAACUUCAGGAAACUGGGGUUAAUACCGUAUAGGAUCCCCUGUUGCAUGGUGGGGGUUGGAAAUUUUCGGCGGUUGGGGAUGGACUCGCGGCUUAUCAGUUUGUUGGUGGGGUAGUGGCUUACCAAGGGUUUGACGGGUAGCCGGCCUGAGAGGGUGACCGGCCACAUUGGGACUGAGAUACGGCCCAGACUCGUACGGGAGGCAGCAGUGGGGAAUAUUGCACAAUGGGCGGAAGCCUGAUGCAGCAACGCCGCGUGCGGGAUGACGGCCUUCGGGUUGUAAACCGCUUUCGCCUGUGACGAAGCGUGAGUGACGGUAAUGGGUAAAGAAGCACCGGCUAACUACGUG
rnacentral:rRNA from 1 species